rnacentral:tRNA from 1 species
GGGCCCGUAGUCUAGUAUGGUUAGGACACAAAAAGCCUAAAACCGCCUUCACACGGCGGAGGUCCGGGGUUCAAGUCCCCGCGGGCCCA